rnacentral:lncRNA from 1 species
CAGAGAUUUCACAUAAAAAGCCAGAUUUAUGACUUCUCUUGAAAAAUCCAAUUUUGGGGCAACAUUAAGCCUUAUAGUCUAGCAGAGCAACAGUUGGCCUUAACCAGUCAGUAGCUGUUCCUUUCAGAUAGGACCGUGGCUAUCCCCUUGCCAUUGACUGUGGUCCCACCACUCCCUAUUGCACCCCCAACUCUAAGCCCAGUAUCAAUCUUCUUUAUCUCUGAUCUCUUUCUUCCAGCAGUCUCACUCAUUCACACUGGCUGCCUGGGCAGGUGUAUAUGGAAACCAUGACCUCAAGGGCUUCUAUACCUCAAACUCAAAAUUGCUGAAAGGCACUUAAGACAUGGAAAGACUGGUGGUGAGAUAUUUAAAUAUAAAGGAAGAAAAGGAGGAAUAAGGACCUUGAAGACAAAGAGAAAAGACUCAGGGAGUCUCAUUGUGUCCCAGAGUGAGAGCUUCUCAUAGUCAUGUGAGACACUGGAACUCUUGCUAUCUGGGCUGUGACUGAAGCACAAAGGCCAAGGAUAGAAGAUGGAGGAAGUGCGGGCUUCCACCAUGUCAUAGACUCAAGGUUAUAGGUGCUAUUGAUGAGUGUUCGCUUGGGAAGUAUCUGGAUAUCAGGACCCGGAUUGCCAUGCCAAGUUCUUCUGCUCCAUCAAGUAAGAUGAUUGCUCUGGCCUGUAAAUCUCAUCUGAAAUGUUUUCCUCAAGAGGCCCACCAGAAGGAUCUCCUGGUGACACAGUUUGAGUUUCUAUUUUGUUCCUACUUUCAAGCUGUUAUUUGGAGGUUUUAUGAGCCAACUGAAAUCUUAUAAGCCAACUGAAAUCCUUCUUGGAACCAGGCAAGUGUAAACAGAUAUUUACAUAUGUGAUAUACAUAUAUACAUAUGCUUUUACAAAGCAAGUACCAAU